GACGAACGCUGGCGGCGUGCCUAACACAUGCAAGUCGAACGUGAUUAUGAAACGGAAACUUUCGGGUGGAAGUUUCAUAUGAAAGUGGCGGACGGGUGAGUAACGCGUGAGCAACCUGCCCUGUACUGUGGGAUAGCCAAGGGAAACUUUGAUUAAUACCGCAUGAUGCUCUCUAUUCGCAUGAGAAGAGGGCCAAAGAAUUUUGGUAUAGGAUGGGCUCGCGUCUGAUUAGCUAGUUGGUGGGAUAAAAGCUCACCAAGGCUGCGAUCAGUAACCGGCUUGAGAGAGUGAACGGUCACACUGGAACUGAGACACGGUCCAGACUCCUACGGGAGGCAGCAGUGGGGAAUAUUGCACAAUGGAGGAAACUCUGAUGCAUCGACGCCGCGUGAGCGAAGAAGGAAUUCGUUUCGUAAAGCUCUGUCCUAUGGGAAGAUAAUGACGGUACCAUAGGAGGAAGCCCCGGCUAACUACGUGCCAGCCGCCGCCGUAAAAC
rnacentral:rRNA from 1 species